rnacentral:rRNA from 1 species
UACGUAGGCAGCAAGCGUUGUUCGGAAUUACUGGGCGUAAAGAGUGUGUAGGUGGUGUCGUAAGUUUGGUGUGAAAUCUCCCGGCUUAACUGGGAGGGUGCGCCGAAGACUGCGAUGCUGGAGUAUGGGAGAGGAAAGCGGAAUUCCUGGUGUAGCGGUGAAAUGCGUAGAUAUCAGGAGGAACACCUGCGGUGUAGACGGCUUUCUGGACCAUUACUGACGCUGAGGUGCGAAAGUGUGGGGAGCAAACAGG